GGUUAAUACCCUGAGUAGAUGACGGUACCGGAAUAAGAAGCACCGGCUUACUACGUGCCAGCAGCCGCGGUAAUACGUAGGGUGCGAGCGUUAAUCGGAAUUACUGGGCGUAAAGCGUGCGCAGGCGGUUUUGUAAGACAGGCGUGAAAUCCCCGGGCUCAACCUGGGAACUGCGUUUGUGACUGCAAGGCUAGAGUAUUGCAGAGGGGGGUGGAAUUCCACGUGUAGCAGUGAAAUGCGUAGAGAUGUGGAGGAACACCGAUGGCGAAGGCAGCCCCCUGGGCCAAUACUGACGCUCAUGCACGAAAGCGUGGGUAGCAAACAGGAUUAGAUACCCUGGUAGUCCACGCCCUAAACGAUGUCAACUAGGUGUUGGGAGGGUAAAACCUUUUAGUGCCGUAGCUAAC
rnacentral:rRNA from 1 species